rnacentral:rRNA from 1 species
GACGAACGCUGGCGGCGUGCUUAACACAUGCAAGUCGAACGGAAAGGCCCUGCUUUUGUGGGGUGCUCGAGUGGCGAACGGGUGAGUAACACGUGAGUAACCUGCCCUUGACUUUGGGAUAACUUCAGGAAACUGGGGCUAAUACCGGAUAGGAGCUCCUGCUGCAUGGUGGGGGUUGGAAAGUUUCGGCGGUUGGGGAUGGACUCGCGGCUUAUCAGCUUGUUGGUGGGGUAGUGGCUUACCAAGGCUUUGACGGGUAGCCGGCCUGAGAGGGUGACCGGCCACAUUGGGACUGUGUUACGGCCCAGACUCCUACGGGAGGCAGCAGGGGGGAAUAUUGCACAAUGGGCGGAAGCCUGAUGCAGCAACGCCGCGUGCGGGAUGACGGCCUUCGGGUUUUAAACCGCUUUCGCCUGUGACGAAGCGUGAGUGACGGUAAUGGGUAAAGAAGCACCGGCUAACUACGUG